rnacentral:rRNA from 1 species
GAUGAACGCUGGCGGCGUGCCUAGUACAUGCAAGUCGAGCGAACGGAUGAGAAGCUUGCUUCUCUGAUGUUAGCGGCGGACGGGUGAGUAACACGUGGAUAACCUACCUAUAAGACUGGGAUAACUUCGGGAAACCGUAGCUAAUACCGGAUAAUAUUUUGAACCGCAUGGUUCAAAAGUGAAAGACGGUCUUGCUGUCACUUAUAGAUGGAUCCGCGCUGCAUUAGCUAGUUGGUAAGGUAACGGCUUACCAAGGCAACGAUGCAUAGCCGACCUGAGAGAGUGAUCGGCCACACUGGAACUGAGACACGGUCCAGACUCCUACGGGAGGCAGCAGUAGGGAAUCUUCCGCAAUGGGCGAAAGCCUGACGGAGCAACGCCGCGUGAGUGAUGAAGGUCUUCGGAUCGUAAAACUCUGUUAUUAGGGAAGAACAUAUGUGUAAGUAACUGUGCACAUCUUGACGGUACCUAAUCAGAAAGCCACGGCUAACUACGUG